rnacentral:rRNA from 1 species
ACGCUCGACACCUACGGGAGGCAGCAGUGGGGAAUAUUGCACAAUUGGAGGAAACUCUGAUGCAGCGAUGCCGCGUGAGGGAAGAAGGUUUUCGGAUUGUAAACCUCUGUCUUUGGGGACGAUAAUGACGGUACCCAAGGAGGAAGCUCCGGCUAACUACGUGCUAGCAGCCGCGGUAAUCUGAGCGGGCUGGCAAGGC